rnacentral:lncRNA from 1 species
CUGAGACUCAACCAAACAAACAAGUUCCUGUUUUAGUGAACUUUGAAUUUGGACUCAGGAGAGGAAGAUGGUUGUCAAGAAUACUGAACUUAAAGGAUGAUCAAUAACGGUCAGUAAAUGAGGAGAAGAAUCUGUGAUCUGGUGGUUUAGGUUUCAGUGAAAACAGUCAGAGUGAAAGUGAAAGUAUGUGAGCUGAAAAACAGACUCCAUUUUGAGAAAAGAAGAGAGAGGAGAGGACGAGGAGACAGGGUGAGUGUUUACUCUGUUUUAGUUUUAAUGUCAAACUCUUUAUCUGUUUUAUCUGUUAAUGAAAAAAUGAUUUACUGACUAAAACACUUAAAAACUGUAAAACAAAGAAACCUGAGCAGACAAAGAGCUGGAUCAGUUCUUCAUACAGGAAACUGUGUACGUGCAGUUCUUCCUCCUCUUUGUUUAGACUUGUCUUUUUGGUAAAAAUAUUAAUCAGAAUCUUUUUAGCGUCUCAUUUCAACUUUAAUCCAGUCUCCUUAAGUUUUUAUGAGAGUUCAGGGACCUCACAGCUGAUUUUGUUUUGACCAUGAAUCAGACAAGGAUCAGAGAGAGGCCCUGCAGGGUGGGGAGACAUCAGAAGUUCUUGGAUAUUAAACCUGUAUAACUCUUAAAGAGGGGGAUGAAGCUGUUUUUAGACUCUGUACUUCCUUUCUGAUUCCUCUUUUAUUUCUGAACUCUCUCUUCCUGUUUGUAUCUCACCUGUUUGUCUUCUUUGUCCUCAGGUUGUAUAACUCGGUUUCAGCCUCCAUAAAUUUGCACAACAGAAGAUGGAGAAGAUGAGUGUUGGUGUCGAGGAAGAGGAGGGCAGAGCAGAGUCUGAUAUGUUUGACUGUCUGUCUAUGAAGAGUGACCAGUCUAAAGGUUUUGAUAUAAACUUCAGUAAAGAACCAGGACCCCCAGAGGAGGACAGAACAAAGUCUGUUAUCUCCAGCUGUCUGUCUAUGAAGAGUGACCGGUCUAAAGAUCCUCCACCAAAAUUCAGUGAAGAACCAGGACCCUCAGAUUCACAGUAAGAGAAACACUUUUCAAUCACCAAACUCUCAAACAACAACAAUUGACGUUUCAAAUACAAAACUUUAAAUCCUGACCCCUCUGUUUUCUCCUCUGUUCUCAAAACACUGAUUUUCCUCUUAAACCUGCCAACCUGGAUAAAAUUCAAUUCAAUUCAACUUUAUUUAUAAAGCCCAUUUCAUGUACAAGGCAGACUCAAUGUUCUUCACAACAGGUGUACAUAGUUAAAAACAGUUAUACAAAAAUCAAUUAGAAAUCAAUGUAAGAGUGUAAGUGCAAGUCAACUUCACUGCAUGCACACUUAAACUCGUACAUGCGCACGCACUCACACAUGGACACGUGCACACGUACACACAUACACACACAGUUUAAAAGAAUGCUAUAGAAAUCUGUUUUUAAAGAUGGCUACUGAUGUGUCUAACUGUGUCAGGCAUGGUGUUCCAUUUUUGUGGGGCAUAAACACUCAAAGCUGCCUCCCCUCAUUUGGAUCUGGUGUGAGGGAUGAGUAAGUUGCCACUGCCUGUUGACCGAAGUGUUCUUGCUGAGGUGUAGGUGAUGAGCAUAUCUGUGAUGUACUGAGGUGCAAGGCCAUGUAGUGCUUUGUAAACCAGGAGGAGUAUUUUGAAAUCGAUUCUUGUCCUAACGGGUAACCAAUGUACAGAUUUGAGAACGGGUGUGAUGUGUUGAUAUUUUUUGGUACCAGUGAGAAUACAUGCAGCUGCAUUUUGAAUUAACUGUAACCUCUGAAGACUUGAUUUUGGGAGUCCAGUGAAUAAACCGUUAUCCAGUAGUAAUCCAGUCUACUUCUUAUAAAUGCAUGGAUGAAUUUUUCUAAGUCUGAUUUUGACAGAAAGCCCCUCAAUUUGGAGAUAUUUUUGAGAUGAUAGAAAGAUGAUCUUGAAUUGAAUCUUGUAAUGGAUAAAAGGCUGGUAAAGAAAAACUCACUGAGCACAGAUUUACUUAUUAUUGUUGAUGUUUAUAAAAAUGAAAGUCGUUUAAAACAGCAUUUGAAAAGGAUUCUGACUUCUUGUAUUUUCUGAUUUGGUUCCUGUGUUUGGGACGUUUUGAGCCUGUUAGUCUUUGGACUGUGGUCUGUAGACCCCAGAAAACAGUCUGUGGGUCACAAAAUACCAGAAGACCAAUGAAGAAAUAAAUCCUGAGAAAUAAAAACUCAUUCAGAGCAUCUGUCUGUUAUUAGACCUUUAGAUCUGAUCGGUGGAAAAAAAAGUUUUAAACUGUCAGAGAAAAUCUCUCUACCUUCAAAAUCACUUUAGUUUUUUCUCUUGUCACGACACUUCAGGCAGCAGCAGCUGAAUAUUUUACAGGAGAUUGUUUUAUGUUAGAGAAAAGAGAAACUCUGGUUUAAUAAAUGUUUCUUAUUCUGUAUCUUUCAAACAUGAAAUAAUAAAGAAAAUAAAUGUUCUUUAUUUCCACAGAGAGACACAGAGAUGUGACUCUGUGGAGGAGCAGCUGUCCAGAUGUUCUUUAUGUCAGGACGUCCUGAAGGAUCCAGUCUCUACCCGCUGUGGACACCAGUCUACUUCUUCAGGAUACACCUCCUGUCCCCAGUGUGGAAAAAGAACCAGAACAGUUCUUGUCUUUCAGACAGACAGCCAGUCCAGCUCUGAUCGAAGUAAGUCUGAACACCUUUAAACCCUAAAUUAUACAAUUUCUGCCAGAAUUAUUUUGCUUAUUUUAGCCAUAAAAUUGGCAGAAAAUGUCCUAUGAGUGAGUGCUUUUUUAUUCAUUGGCUUUCAACCCUGCAUGAGACUCGGCUCCUGUUUUAGUGUUUUAUGUUUUUUUUUUUUUUUUUUUUUUAUGUCUAUGCUUUUUUGUCUAUUUAUAUACAGCACUUUGGUUGGCUGUGGUUGUUUUAAAGUGCUUUACAAAUAAAGUUGAGUUUUACCCAUUUUUCCAGAACACUUCAAA